AUGGAGGAGCGACCGCAUGCUACAGCCGGAGCUAGACAAGCAUGGAGGGGAGCGAGCACGAGCAGCACGCGGAUUGAUGCAGGCGACCGAAGCGAGGCCCUACGGGCGGCGCACGCGUGGACGGGCGGCAGCGUCGCAACGGCGGCGGUGAAGAAGGCGCAACCGACGGCGAGGACACGCCACCCCUCGCGUCCGCUCCGGGGGCGUGUCGGUGUCGAGCCCCCGAGCGCUACCGGAGAGACGGCGCGACGCCGCGGUGACGACAAAGAUGGCGAGGCCGAUGGCAAGGACGCGCCGCCCCUCGUGGCCACUCCGGGGGCGGGUCGAUGUUGA
rnacentral:rRNA from 1 species